UUUUGUCAAUUUGUUUACUACGUGUCUCGGCUUGUUUCUCCUUGGGUUUAUCCUGCCUGGGACUCUCUGAGUUUCCUGGACUUGGGUGGCUAUUUCCUUUCCCAUGUUAGGGAACUUUUCAACUAUAAUCUCUUCAAAUAUUUUCUCUGGUCCUUUCUCUCUCUUUCCUCCCUCUGGGACCCCUAUAAAGUGAAUGUUGGUGUGUUUAGUGUUGUCCCAGAGGUCUCUUAGGCUGUCUUCAUUUCUUUUCAUUGCUUUUUCUUUAUUGUGUUCUGUGGCAAUGAAUUCCACCAUUCUGUCUUCCAGGUCACUUAUCCAUUCUUCUGCCUCAGUUAUUCUGCUUUUGAUUCCUUCUAGUGUAUUUUUCAUUUCAGGUAUUGUAUUGUUCAUCUCUGUUUCUUUGUUCUUUAAUUCUUCUAGGUGUUUGUUCUUCAGUUCUUCUAGGUCUUUGUUAAACAUUUCUUGCAUCUUCUCAAUCUUUGCCUCUAUUCUUUUUCCAAGGUCCUGGAUCAUUUUCACUAUCAUUAUUCUGAAUUCUUUUUCUGGAAGGUUGCCUAUCCUCACUUCAUUUAGCUGUUUUCUGGGGUUUUAUCUUGUUCCUUCAUCUGGUACAUAGCCCUCUGCCUUUUCAUCUUGUGUGUCUUUCUGUGAAUGUGGUUUUUGUUCCACAGGCUGCAGGAUUGUAGUUCUUCUUGCUUCUACUGUCUGCCCUCUGGUGGGUGAGGCUAUCUAAGAGGCUUAUGCAAGCUUCCUGAUGGGAGGGACUGGUGGUGGGUAGAGCUGGGUGUUGCUCUGGUGAGCAGAGCUGAGUAAAACUUUAAUCUGCUUGUCAGCUGAAGGGUGGGGCUGAGUUCCUUCCCUGGUGGGUUUUUGGCCUGAGGCAACCCACCACUGGAGCCUAGAGGCUCUUCAGUGGGGUUAAUGGUGGACUCUGGGAAGGCUCACGCCAAGGGGUACUUCCCAGAAGUUCUGCUGCCAGUGUCCUUGUCCCCACGGUGAGCCACAGCCAGCCCCUGCCUCUGCAGGAGACCCUCCAACACUAGCAGGUAGGUCUGGUUGAGUCUCCCCCGGGGUCACUGCUCCUUCCCCUGGGUCCCAGUGUGCACACUACUUUGUGUGUGCCCUCCAAGAGUGGAGUCUCUGUUUCCCCCAGUCCUGUUGAAGUCCUGCAGUCAAAUCCCACCAGCCUUCAAAGUCUGAUUCUCUGGGAAUUCCUCCUCCUGUUGCCGGACCCCCAGGUUGGGAAGCCUGACGUGGGGCUCAGAACCUUCCCUCCAGUGGGUGGACUUCUGUGGUGUAAGUGUUCUCCAGUCUGUGAGUCACCCACCCAGCAGUUAUGUGAUUUGAUUUUACUGUGAUUGCGCCCCUCCUGCCGUCUCCUUGCGGCUUCUCCUUUGUCUUGGAUGUGGGGUGUUUUUUUGGUGAGUUCCAGUGUCUUCCUGUCCAUGAUUGUUCAGCAGUUAGUUAUGAUUGCGGUGCUCUCACAGGAGGGAGUUAUCUGGUUAGAUUUUAUGCUUCCUUUUAAGUCAUCUCAAAUCCUUUCUGGCAAGGGAUAAUUUUUAAAAUAUACGUAGAGAUCACUGUGUCCUGAAUCAUCCCCUAAUCUCUCUGUACUUGAAUAUCUUCUAUUUCUUCUGUUUCUGAAGCUAAUUUUAUUGUCACACACUGUUGUUGCCAUGGAUAUGUGUAUCCCUCAGAGAGGAAUUUCUGGUUUUACAAAGGCUCUUUCUAAGUUUCUUAGGGGGAAAAAAGAUACUUCACUUAGGAAAGAGCUUGCUUCAAGACCAUUUUUCCUUUGAGGUAUACAGUAUUUUAAAACACCUUACUCUAAACAUAUAAUUUCUUUAUCUUCAUCUUUUUUGACGGAAGCUAUUGGCCAUUCUCUUCCCCUGUUUAUUUUCUGCUUGUAAGUUUUUAUUUGCAAAGCAGUUACCAGAGUAAUUAGAAUGCAGUGAACCCUUGGGCUUGAACACGUUUGAAGAGCUAAAUGCUUUUUGAAUGAUUUUUUCCCCCAUGAGCCUUUUAAAAUAUAACUUCAAGUACCGCUGACUCUGAAUGUCAGCCAGUGGAGCUGAUGGGCUCUAACAUUUUUACUGCUGUCGGGAAGCUCUGAGCUUCAUCGGGAGAAAAGCACUUUCUGGAUGGAGAAGUUAAUUGGGGAGUUAGCAGUUUAACACGAUUAAAAAUAAGUUGUCAUUCACAACUGACUGAUUUUUGGCUCUGAGUUACUUCCUGGACUUAAUUUCCAUCGGCCAGAAAAGUAGGAACGUUGCCCUGGACAUGGGAGCAGGGCCCCCGGGCACCGAUGAUCUUCCACGAAUCUGGACAGGCUGCCUCCAGGUGCCUAAUCAAGUAAACCCAAAGUCAGAAAACACUCUCUCAGGAGGAGUGAUUUUGUAAGUUCCUGUCCCAUCUUUGAGAAAAAUAAAAUAAUAUUCUGCUCCGUUGGAAGGAAAGGAAAUCUGUAGAAAUAAGUAACAACCCUCAGAAAUUUCCCUGAGUCCAAGCUCCCCGACGCGAGGCUUGGGUGAGCGUCGGGAAGGAGCAACCCCAAGGCCAGAGGGGCUUCAGAUGUUGGCUUGUCUGCUUAGGACCGGGGGGUGAGUGAGGCACUUACCUUGAGAGCAAAACCUAAGGAGACACCCCCCACCCCAAAUGCUGUCAUCAAGAUAAAUCCUAUUUCAAUGCAGUAUUUAAAAAAUCAAGUCAGUGCAAAGAAACAGGACGUGGAGUGUGCCAGUGGGGACUUACAUGGACGAAUGAAUUGGUGAGGCCCCCCUGAGGUGGGCUGACACCUCAUCACCCCCUGACUGGAGCCGGCAGAAGGAUGAGAGAAAAUCCCCCACGUGACUGAGGUUUGUUUCUUUUGCCUAUUUUGUAGGGAUGGGGGUCAAAAUAGAAAUCAAAUGCAUUUAUUGAAAAAUGAAUUUGUGUAAUGUUUCCCACACACUUUAGUUUGUAAACUAAGGGUCUUAGUCAUUAGGUUGCAUAACUGUUAUUUUGCCAAUACAGAGUUUUACAUGAUUGCCUGUAUUCUUUUUAAAAAAAUUUAUUUUGUUGAAGAAUAGUUGAUUUACAAUGUGUUAAUUUCUGCUGGACAGCAAAGUGAUUCAGUUAUACAUAUAUAUAUAUUCUUUUUCAUAUUCUUUUCCAUUAUGGCUUAUUAGAGGACAUUGAAUAUCAUCCCCUGUGCUCUACAGCAGGACCUUGUUGUUUAUCCAUUCUGUAUAUACUAGUUUGCAUCUGCUUAAUUGUCUGUAUUCUUAUCACCAGAAUACGUGCUGUAGGCAGGCAGGGCUUUGUAGGUCUAUGCACUGCUGUUCCCUCUUGCAUAGAGUACCUGCUUAAUCAAUGACGUGAAAAACAAAUAACUCUAUGUAAGGUGGAGGUUUAGACUCUUCUAAAUAGUAGGAGAGAUGACAAGCUUCUGGUUUACAUUUUUAAGAAUUAAAUAAUGUCUAAUAUCAAUAUAUUCCUCUAUGUGUGCAUAUACCAUAAUUACAGUAAUAAUAGUAUUUGCUAUAACUUAUUCAACGAGACAAGUUGCUGUGGACAGAAUGUUUGUGUUCCCCCAGAUUCAUAUGUUGAAACCCCAAUGUGAUGGUGUUUGGAGGAGGGUGACAGGUCGUGAGAAUGGAGCCCCCCAGAUGGGAUUAGCAUCCUUACAAGAAAAGGACAGGGUCUCCAAGGUUUAUCAACAAGGUGUCCUGCAGUAAGUUUGCCUGCAUCUGGAGAAAACCUGGGCUCCAGGAGGAGUGGAUGCGUCUUCGGGAACACUGACGGUUGUGCAAAGGUUCAUGAGGAGUUAGGAGCACGCAGCCCCCGGCUGCCGUUUACAGCAGCAACUCGAGGGAACCGGAAAUUUUAUGUGUCAUUGUGGAAGAAGAUGAGAUUGCCUGCCUGCCUGGUGGAAAUGUGGUUUUGGUCACUACUAAUAAAGCUACUAUAAACAAUUAUGUACAGGUGUGUGUGGACCUAAGUUUCCGUUUCUCUGGGAUAGAUAACCAGGAGUGCAACUGACAGGUUGUCUGGAGAAUGACUUCAUAUGAUACAUUAUCGAAAAGGCUUUGAGUUCAUGAACUGACUGAAGACAAAUGAUUAAUCUACUCUCUAAUUAUCGGGGCUUUCAUCUUCACAUCCACCCAGUCGAUUAACUCAUAUGCUAUCAAUUCAGAAGGAUACAUGAUAGCAAGAAGAAAGAAGUGUUUUAUAAUCAAAUCAGAUAUUUCACUGGCAAAGGAGAGUGUCCUAAGGAGGGUAUCUGUAUGUACAGACAAGGUGUAUUUGAAGACCUGAUAAAUUGUGAUGGACAAAGUGAUGGGGAAAGACAAAACUACUCAGUAAGUGAAAUAUUGGAGAGACGAUCUUUUGAACCAUUUCAUGAAGCGAUUGCAAAAUUUCAGAGGUAGCCAAGUUUGAGCUGUUAAAAGCACACACUGAAUCUUGUAGUUUUCCCUAAAUUACCUUAUAUCACCUGUUUGUGAAGCUGACUUUAUGAAUUAUUUGAUUUUGAUGGAAGGACGGUCAUCUACAAAUCAUCAAAGACCUCUAUCUUAAAUUGGAAGAAGAUAAGAAAAGUAAGUUACUGAUGCCAUGAAAAUUCUCCCCAGAUCUGUGCAGUGUGUUCUAGAGAUGAAAUCAGUAGCGAGGACGCUGCACUGUGGCAGAAUUGUCACAGCACAGAGCGGACAACUCAUUAGCAGGUGAAGACAUCCUUAGAUGUCUCUCCGGGGUCUCGGGAGGGGAAAGCUGCCCUGAGUCUCUCAGUGUCUGGGCUGAACAUUCCCGCUUGGUUACACAGAUCCUGUAGCUGCACCAGACCUACUGAUGUGAGUACUGCAAAGGUCACGAGCAGGUCAAGAGACCGGGCACUUCGGGGAAUUCGCUCAAGAUACUGUGGCAGGGGUGAGGCAGCAAAACGAGUAAUGGGAGGGCAAUGCCUUUUAUUUUAUUUUUGUUUGAAAAUAGUCAAUACAUUACUAUACAGCUAUUAAAAGAAAAGAAUGAUUUAAAGAGAUAUCAAGAAUGUACCGUUAAGCAUGAAAAACAUAGCAGGGUAAUCCAUUCAUCAUCAUCUCUUUUUCUUUUUUCAUAAGAGCAAGUAUCAAAAACAGAGCUUCCCUAAAGUGUGACUCUAGGUGUGCAUUGUUUGUGUAAACAUGGACAAAGCCAUGGAGGGGCUCCCACCUGGCUGUGUAUUGUCACCUGGCUGGGGACAUUGGGAAGGGUGCUGUGUGCCACAGGUGUUGUACUAACCAGCAAGCAUGUUCUAUCCCCAUAAGUUUUGAAGAGAAAUGGAAAAAGGAAGAAAAUUAAAAAGAAAAACCAUUUAUUGCUCAAAUAGUACCAAAGCACCAGUCAUGGACAAUUUAAAAGAGCAAACAGGGGCUUCCCUGGUGGCGCAGUGGUUGAGAGUCCGCCUGCCGAUGCAGGGGACACGGGUCCAAGCCCUGGUCCGGGAAGAUCCCACAUGCCACGGAGCAACUAAGCACAUGCGCCACAACUACAGAGCCUGUGCUCUAGAGCCCGCGAGCCACAACUACUGAGCCCGCGUGCCACAACUACUGAAGCCCGCGCACCUAGAGCCCGUGCUCCGCAACAAGAGAAACCACCACAAUGAGAAGCCCGCGCACCGCAACGAAGAGUAGCUCCCACUCGCCGCAACUAGAGAAAGCCCACGCGCAGCAACAAAGACCCAAUGCAGUCAAAAAUAAAUAAAUAAAUAUAUAUUUUUUAAAAAAAGAGCAAACAGCAUCAUCAGAGUAUCAGCCCCAGCCCUGUAACCCAUAUCCUCCUAGUUUUCUGUUUCUUUGCUGCUUCUUGUCCUAAUGGAUAUGUUAUUUUUCAUACUUAAAAUCAUAGUAGAAGUAAAACUUUUAUUCUGUUUUCCUGACUUACCUUUGUAUUAGGCUUAUUAUUACAUGUUUCUAUAUUCUUCAUGCUUAUAAUUCUUGACAUAUUAAUUAAAAAACCAGAGAGAGGCUACACCAUAAUUUAUUUGGUCAUCUUUCAAUUAUGGGACAUUUGUUUGCAAUUUUUCUUGUUAAAAAUAUUAAAAUAAUAUAUAGGUAUCUGUAUAACACUUUUCCCACUUUUAAAAUUAAGUAAUCCCUUAAAUUAAAUCCCCAGAUUUAGAGUUUUAGAAAUGGAUAAAAAAUUAUGAAUACCUUCACUGUAAUACAUUCUAAGGAUUUCCUAAUAAUUUCUUUUUUUAAUAAAUUUAUUUAU